AGCUUUGUGCAGUGGCAGUAUCAUAGCCAAUGAGGUUUAUCUGAGGCACAAUUAUUGCUAAUUGAAAACUUUUCCAUACUGGGGUAUGAAGGAGUUGGUUUUAAAUUUUAAUAUCCCAAGAGGGU
ensembl:snRNA U4 U4 spliceosomal RNA